AAUGAUUUUUAAGAAGAGAUCUGUUGCAAAUAAUCUUUUCACUGAAUUUCUUUUUCUCUUUCUAAUCGUACUGGGUUGAAGCAUCAGAUCUAUAGAUAUACACUUUGAAGCUUCCAUGGAGGUCUUAAGAGAGCCGUACAACAAAAAUUCCAAGUCAAUGA